GUUCAACCUCUGCCUAUUACUCAGCUCCACAGUUGCUUCUACAUAUUCAGGUAUCUUUAUAGCAAUGUCCCACUUCUCUGGUAUCAAUUUGCUGUAUGAGUUUAUUCUCAUAUUGCUAUAAAAACAUAUAUGAAAAUGGGUAAUUUAUAAAGAAUAGGGGUUUAAUUGGCUUGUGCUUCUAUGGGCUGUACAGGCUUCUGCUUCUGGGGAGGCCUUAGGAAACUUAUAAUCAUGGUUGAAGGUGAAGAGGAAGAAAGUACGUCUUCACAUGGCUAGCAGGAGAGAGAGAGCAAAGAUGGAGAAGUGCUACACACUUUCAAACAAACAAAUCUCUGGAGAACUCACUCACUAUCACAAGAAAAAGAAGCAGGAAAUUUCACCCCAACAUUCAGUCGUCUCCCACCUGGUCCCUCCCUGAACAUUGGAGAUUACAAUUCAUCAUGCAGUUUGGGUGGGGACAGAGUCAAACUAUAUUACCAUGUAAGCCAAAAAAUAUCAGUGUUGUGUCAUAAUGGAGCAAAUGAACAAUUAAAGCAAAUAAGCCUGAGAAGUCAAGCAAGAUUGCCCUAGUCAUUUAUUAGUUUACUAAAUUCAUUCCACAGUAGUGUGUCAGGCACUCAAAGCUCAGUGAGUGGACCCCUUGGGGGCAGCUGCAAGUGGCAAAAAUUCUUCUACAUGGAUUCUCUUAGUCAUUGUGGUCGUCUUCUUGACAAGAAUGCUCAUAUUGAUAAGUGGCAAUUCAAGAGGUCAUUUGGCUUCUGGAUGUCAAAAGCUGCAAAAGGAACAUAUUUUGAAGUGCUUUCAAAAUGUUAGUAAUGACACUCUCUGCCUUUCACCUUCAGUUUGCCAUGAAGUCAAAUGUAUUAUUCCAGCUGAGCAACUUCCUGCAAGUCUUCACAGCUCACCCAGACCCUCAACAAUCAUAGGAACACAACAGGUUUGUGACACUGAAGAGGAUUGGACAGAAAGGCCUAGACUGGACUCUGGAGGGGACUAUGGACAGCCACAAGGCACAGAGGCCUGGGUAUAGGAAUCAAGAAGUCAGCUGAGUGGGGGCACGGGGAGGUAUACAGAAAGUGGAAGGGGGUGCAGCAUGGGGGUCGGGGGAAUCAGCAGGAUGGUCCUGGGAAAAAUACUCUGGUGUGAAUGUCCCUGAAAAUCUCCUUCCAGAUCAGGAGCACCUUCCACACUUCUACACUAAGGAGUCCAAUCGCCACUUCCACUCCAUCCUCCAGCAUAAGUAAGCUCUAUCUUCAUGAUGACUGAGUGACCAUCCCUUACUAUUUCAUAAGGGCAAGAUACAUGCGAAUCACCCUAGGGUAAAAUCAGCUUCAUGGAAAGGUACCCAGCAGCCUUCUUGCAGGUGAGGAUCUCCAGAGCUUAAGAAGAGGGCAGGAAAAGCCUUAGGUUCCAGUCCAAACGCUCAGGAUUUGGGGGUGAAACCAGCUCAGGUCAUGCCCUCUAAUGUCCAGGAUUCCACUUUCCUGACCAAUAAGAUUCAGUAACUCUCUUCUUCCCUUGGCUCUGUUGGGUGCUUGAAAAGCAAAGUAAACACUGUUGAUAUGACUGUAAGGAAUACAAUUUUUUUUUUGAUUCUGUUCUAACAAGAAACUGGACUGUUGUCAACAUAUGUUUUUCUUUUGUAUUGGUCAUUUUCCGUGGGUUUGUUUCUGCAUCCUUUUUCAUAUUGCCUUUUUGCUCUCUGUAAGAUUCAAUGUUCUAUUGGCAAGAUAAUAACAAAGAUAAGAAUGCUUUUAUUUCUGCAGGUAAAAAAGAACUUAAGUGAACCUGUUUUGAGGUAGUGCUUAAGAUGGAGAAAAUUCUGUAGAUUAAAACAGCUGGAGGGUGAAGAAAGGAAAACAAAGUAGGGGCUCAGAAUUGGAUAAAUGAGCAGAGGGGUUUGACUCAGACCCUGAAGGAGGAGAGAAUUAUAGACUGACCUGCGUGUGUCCCCUUCUCUCAGUGAAGGCAGCUGGUAAAGACUGCAGCCCAGAACAUUCUUUUAUUGAAUUCUGUUGUUUUUCUGGGUUGGCACAGAAAAAUAUGUCUCCUGGUUACUGUGAUUUUGUUCUUUUGCCUAGGACAUCCAGAUACUUCUUUUAGAGAUGCCAUGGGUUACAUUCCCUGGCAGGAUAUUAGUUCCUGUUAAGAAAUAAAAAUAUGCCCCAAUUCUUCAUUAAAAGCAUGAAUUAUUUUUUGAUAAUAUAUUUUAAUGUGACCUCUCGUCUUUUCUGGCUCAUUCUCUAAAUUUACACAUCGGUCUCCAGAGGUUUCCUUGCCAUAACUCUCACCUUACUGUUUUAUUAGUUAUGUUAGGGUUUUGUUUUUUUUUUUUUUGGUCAAGCCCAUUUAAAGAUGGUAAUAAAUGCUGGUCAAUAAUUCAGCUCUGGGUCUUUUAAGUUGCUUUCUCAGCUCUGCAAUUUAGAACCAAAC
rnacentral:lncRNA from 1 species